ensembl:lincRNA
UGUGAGCGAGUGAGGGCGUGGGCCUGAGAGCGUCCGCGGGACUGUGCGACUGUCGCUGCCCCGCCUUCCCCGCCCCCUCUCCAUUCCCCCUUCUCUGCCCCCCUUUGCCACACUCCUUAGACAGGGACGGGCGACCUAGAACGAGGUUCCCAUACCGUCUUUUGAAAAGCAAAACUUGGUCUCUGUUUUGCCUUUUGUUUUAUUGUUUUUAGCUUUAAAGAGUAAGAGCAGCGCACCCGGCUCCCUCCUGCUAAUUAGACUUCAGAUCCCUCUCUGGCCUCAGUGCUCAUUCUGGGGAAGACACCUGCUGAGAUGUCUUUUUCCCCCUCCCUCAACCAAACCACUUAGGUCCUGCCUGCUCUUUCCCGGCUGGAUGCGAGCGUGUUUUCCUGUAUGUAUUUUUUCAUGCGGCCACAAACAGCAUCAGCUGGGGUUCCCGAAGGUCAGAAAAUGGCUAUUGAUUAAUCUAUUAGAAUAGUUGCCGAGAGAAAUAAAAACGACGUAAAAUAACAGGGACCCUAUAAAUAAAGAAGCCAUAACUGGCUACUUGGAGUUGUUGAACGACUUAGCAUAUGAAAAAAUCGGAAAUGAGGCGCUGGGGAAGGAGCCGGCAUUGGCAGCGGCCCGGGUGUAGACAAAUCCUCCCAAGAUUUAACUUCCAAGGAAACCAGCGGCGGAGCGGUUGGAGGAGGCGAGGAUGUGUGGCCAGCGCACGCGGAGUGCAAGGCAAGUCAGUGAUGGUAGGAAAAACUGUGGGGAUUUCACUGGGACUGGAGGGGGAGCCACCGCAAACCGACCCCCAAGUGCGUGGCUGGGAUGCGUGGACCUCACACCUCCAAGGAAAGUCGGUGCUCUUGACCCGGUGAAUCGCGAUGCGCUGCCUCUUUCCUUCCGCAUUUAGGCCACCUAGUUGGGAGCCGCAAGAGCCUGUGCCUAGUGUGGCAGGCACACGUAACCCAAUCCCUAUCUGUACGCUGCGGCCUGGGAGGGGAGCGCCGGCCUCACCAGAGGAAGGAGCACGAGGGGAGGAGUUCCGAGAGGAAAUAAUUAGUGAAAUAUUUGCAGAAGAUGCUGGGAUGUGGAUUUAAUUCCGGAUGGACAGUGGUGCUUCCGAUUCCCUCAGUCUGUUUCCCCAUCCACGAUCUCCUCUUUCCUUGGCCUAGACACACUAAAAAUAAUUCAAUAAAAUAAAAAGUUUAAAAUCUGUAAACCUGCUUCAUUACAGGCAUUGAGACACACAGAUUGACUUUCAUCUUCAUUAGACAGUUUCCCCGGAUAGAAUACUAACUCACUCGAGGCUGGGAGCAGGGUGGGGUGUGGUGACUCUAUCCUGAGACGCCCGCUAACCUCCACGGUUUUUCUUUAUCUAAAUGAUCCCAAGGUUGCACCGGCCCUAAAACGCAUCUCAGAGUUGAUUUCUGUAGCUUCACAGCUUUGUGGCCCGCAGGCUUCGAACCGUUUACCGUGCCGUCUAGACAGCCUUCCGCGAAACCGACCCGGGCUGAGCUGGCUGGCCACCGCCCGGAACUGCAGAGUUCGCGGUUGCAACUGCCUCAGCAACCGAAGGAGGGUCGGAAGGUCCAAAAAAAAAAAAAAAAAGAAAAUCCUGAAAUUUACACAUUCAGGAACUUCCUGUGCUCUGCUUGGGUUGCCCAGCCCUAGAGGCAGGGGCGCGGGGCGCAGCGCUGGCCCUGCCGCGGCCUUGGUGGCUUGGCCCGCGUGGACAAGUAAGUGUGG